CCCCUAGAUGUUCUGGGCCGCACGCGCGCUACACUGAACAGUUCAACAAGUCUUAACCUUGGCCGAUAGGUCUGGGUAAUCUUUGAACGCUGUUCGUGAUUGGGAUAGACCUUUGCAAUUAUGGGUCUUCAACGAGGAAUUCCCAGUAAGCGCAAGUCAUAAGCUUGCGUUGAUUACGUCCCUGCCCUUUGUACACACCGCCCGUCGCUACUACCGAUUGAACGUUUUAGUGAGGUAUUUGGACUGGACCUUCGGAGGUUCGCGCCUCCGUUGCUGUUCGGGAAGACUCCCAAACUUGAGCGUUUAGAGGAAGUAAAAGUCGUAACA
rnacentral:rRNA from 1 species